rnacentral:rRNA from 1 species
AUUGAACGCUGGCGGCAGGCCUAACACAUGCAAGUCGAGCGGCAGCGGGAAAGUAGCUUGCUACUUUUGCCGGCGAGCGGCGGACGGGUGAGUAAUGCCUGGGGAUCUGCCCAGUCGAGGGGGAUAACUACUGGAAACGGUAGCUAAUACCGCAUACGCCCUACGGGGGAAAGCAGGGGACCUUCGGGCCUUGCGCGAUUGGAUGAACCCAAGUGGGAUUAGCUAGUUGGUGAGGUAAUGGCUCACCAAGGCGACGAUCCCUAGCUGGUCUGAGAGGAUGAUCAGCCACACUGGAACUGAGACACGGUCCAGACUCCUACGGGAGGCAGCAGUGGGGAAUAUUGCACAAUGGGGGAAACCCUGAUGCAGCCAUGCCGCGUGUGUGAAGAAGGCCUUCGGGUUGUAAAGCACUUUCGGCGAGGAGGAAAGGUUGGUAGCUAAUAACUGCCAGCUGUGACGUUACUCGCAGAAGAAGCACCGGCUAACUCCGUGCCAGCAGCCGCCGUAAGAC